rnacentral:rRNA from 1 species
AGCGAACGCUGGCGGCAGGCCUAACACAUGCAAGUCGAACGAACUCUUCGGAGUUAGUGGCGGACGGGUGAGUAACACGUGGGAACGUGCCUUUCGGUUCGGAAUAACUCAGGGAAACUUGUGCUAAUACCGAAUGUGCCCUUCGGGGGAAAGAUUUAUCGCCUUUAGAGCGGCCCGCGUCUGAUUAGCUUGUUGGUGGGGUAAUGGCCCACCAAGGCGACGAUCAGUAGCUGGUCUGAGAGGAUGACCAGCCACAUUGGGACUGAGACACGGCCCAAACUCCUACGGGAGGCAGCAGUGGGGAAUCUUGCGCAAUGGGCGAAAGCCUGACGCAGCCAUGCCGCGUGGAUGAUGAAGGUCUUAGGAUUGUAAAAUCCUUUCACCGGUGAAGAUAAUGACUGUAGCCGGAGAAGAAGCCCCGGCUAACUUCGUGCCAGCAGCCGCGGUAA